UUUCUCACGAUGUGCUGUUCGACGAAGUCUCUUGUCAUAAAUAUGAUGCUAAUGGAAACCAAGGUACAACUAGUCUUGCACUUUUCCUUAAUGAUGUUUCAUCUAUUGAGAAAUGCACUCAAUCUAAGGAAAAUGUUGAAGCCACCACAAGUAUUGAGGAUGCCACACGGAAAAAUCCACCAAGACAGAAAAUCCUCCAUCACAUUUGUCUGACUAUGUGGUUGAGAUGAAUCAUUUUUCUGUUAUGUCUUGUUUUUUUUAUAGAAGAUUC
rnacentral:lncRNA from 1 species